AAUAAGUGCAGUUUUGCACUAUUCAUGUUCAACGUUUGACCGUCCGUCUUAUUUGAAAAUUUUUUAUGAUUAGUAUUUUUAUUGCUAUUAGAUGAUAAAACAUGAAUGGUACUUUAUGUGUGACUAAAUGUUUUUAAUUUUUUCACAAAUUUUUCAAAUAAGAUGGACGGUCAAACGUUGAACGUGAAUAGUGUAAAACUGCACUUAUU
rfam:Oryza sativa Japonica Group DNA, chromosome 11, cultivar: Nipponbare, complete sequence.